CUACAUACAACCGCUCGCAUACAGGUUGAAGUACAAUCAUAUUGUCACCUGUAUAUGGCGUGACUUAUUAUAUA
rnacentral:sRNA from 1 species